AUAUCAAUAAGCGGAGGAAAAGAAACCAACUGGGAUUGCCUUAGUAACGGCGAGUGAAGCGGCAAAAGCUCAAAUUUGAAAUCUGGUACCUUUGGUGCCCGAGUUGUAAUUUGGAGAGUACCACUUUGGGACUGUACUUUGCCUAUGUUCCUUGGAACAGGACGUCAUGGAGGGUGAGAAUCCCGUGUGGCGAGGGUGUCAGUUCUUUGUAAAGGGUGCUCGAAGAGUCGAGUUGUUUGGGAAUGCAGCUCUAAGUGGGUGGUAAAUUCCAUCUAAAGCUAAAUACAGGCGAGAGACCGAUAGCGAACAAGUACAGUGAUGGAAAGAUGAAAAGAACUUUGAAAAGAGAGUGAAAAAGUACGUGAAAUUGUUGAAAGGGAAGGGCAUUUGAUCAGACAUGGUGUUUUGCGCCCCUUGCCUCUCGUGGGCUUGGGACUCUCGCAGCUCACUGGGCCAGCAUCGGUUUUGGCGGCCGGAAAAAACCUAGGGAAUGUGGCUCUGCGCCUCGGUGUAGAGUGUUAUAGCCCUGGGGAAUACGGCCAGUCGGGACCGAGGACUGCGAUACUUGUUAUCUAGGAUGCUGGCAUAAUGGUUAUAUGCCGC
rnacentral:rRNA from 1 species